rnacentral:rRNA from 1 species
GACGAACGCUGGCGGCGUGCUUAACACAUGCAAGUCGAACGAAGUGGCGAACGGGUGAGUAACGCGUAAUCAACCUGCCCUUCAGAGGGGGACAACAGUUGGAAACGACUGCUAAUACCGCAUACUGAAGGAGGGGAUUGCGGCUGAUUGGCUAGUUGGGGGGGUAACGGCCCACCAAGGCGAUGAUCAGUAGCCGGGCUGGGGGGAUUAACGGCCACAUUGGGACUGAGACACGGCCCAGACUGCUACGGGAGGCAGCAGUGGGGAAUCUUCCGCAAUGGACGAAAGUCUGACGGAGCAACGCCGCGGUAGUGAUGACGGCCUUCGGGUUGUAAAGCUCUGUUAAUCGGGACGCGGUACCGGAAUAGAAAGCCACGGCUAACUACGUGCCAGCAGCCGCGGUAAUAC